UGAACUUCCCAACAAGUCUGGCAACACUAUGUAGCCGUAAGUGACAAGGCUCUCCUAUUUCCUUGCUAGUUCAAUGUCAACCGCAUGAUGUGACAAUUUGACUUUAUUCUUUUAUGAACUUUUCUGCUUCUGAUGUUUGUGUGUAUAAAUCAUUGUUUGUAAGAAUCAAAAGUUCAAUUUAUAUAACUGACAUAUAAGCACACAACAGUACAUAUAUACGGUGUUCGUGCCGUGGACAGUUACGUUUUGAGUGUGUCCGUUGAUAAAUGCUAGUGUCAUUUACAACACCUUGCUGCAACAUCAUAUGCUGCAUUGCAGUAAGCAUUACCUGAGCCUUCAAUUGCCAUUUGAUUGCCAGUUAUUGAAGAUCCUCCCACUUGAGUGUCAUACUGCGAGCAGCAUAAUUUAGCAGCAAUAUGUAUCUAACACAUUUGAUUGAACAAUAGAACAUGCCAUACAUUUGACUGUAGCAAUAUUAUUAUAUUUGCACUGUACAAAUCUUCUAUCCUGUGAUUGGAUGACGCAGCUUUGUGUUCCUCCUCCCAGUCAAUUCGAUUCAUUCGCAGCAGACCGGAACUAUUUGUUCAUUGUUCUUCUUUGUUCACAAAGAACAGCAUGCUCAAGUUCUUGCUUGUAGUUUGUAUUCUAUUUGAGCAAGCUGUUAGCAACAGCGACCAGACAGGAGAUGCAUCAAUCCAAAGUUGCAUUGGCGAGAAAGGUGAAAAGGGUGACUACGGUCUUCCUGGAAUACGGGGGUUAAGAGGUCACAAAGGCGGAUUGGGAGCAGCCGGUCCCAAAGGAGACAGUGGAGCAUCUGGUCCUGCUGGACCUCCUGGUGCUCAGG